rnacentral:rRNA from 1 species
AAUAAAAAUAAUGAGAACUUGAUGUUGGUUCAGAUUAAAUGCUAAGUAGAGACAUAACACAUGCAAGUCAUUCUUAUGAAUGGCGUUCGGGUGAGUGUAAAAAAAUAUGAAAUAUAUUUUAACAGAUGUAGGUAUUAGAUAGUUGUUAAACAACAUAAUAAUCUAGCCGUAGAACUGGAACUGGUGAUUAACGUCACAACAGUCACAUUGAUAGUAUAUCAACUCUUAUUAGGAGCAGCAGUGAGGAAUAUUUGACAAUGGUCUAACGACUGAUCAAGUUAUCUACAAGAAGGAUAUAAUAUUCACCGGCUUGCCGGUGAAAAUAAAAAAUUAUAAAAGAAUAACUAUAAACUUCUAAAUAUAAAUAAUAAUGAUAUUUAUAUGAAUAAGUCCUGGCUAAUUCAUGUGCCAGCCGCAGCGGUCAGACAUGUAGGGCAAGCAUUAAUCAGAUUGGCUUAAAGGAUCUGUAGAACGUAAGUCGAGAUAAUCGACUAAUAGAAUAAUAAUAAGGUGAUAAGAAAUAUGGUUAGAGAGAUGAAAUACAAUGAAAACUUUAUGACUGCAAAGUAAUCACUAAAAAAUUAUUGACGUUGUGAGAUGAAGGCUACGGUAGCGACCUGGAUUUGAUGCCCAGUUAGUCGUAGCAGAAAACUAUGAGUACACUAAUAGAAAAGUGAAAAUGUAUAGUACUCCGCCAGACUAGUACGCUCGCAAGGGUGAAAUACAAAACAUUAGACGGUUGUAAUCAACAGCAGUGGAACAUGUCAUUUAAUUGGAUGAUACUCCUAAAAUCUUACCAUCACUUGAAUAUUUUACAGGCGUUACAGUCGUUGUCGUCAGUUCAUGCCGUGAGGUUUUUUAUUAAUUUAUUUAAUGAACGAAACCCUUUUACCCUCAAUUAUUAUAAUUGCCAAAAGCUAUUUUAUAAUAAUUGAUUUUAUAUGCUAUAUUUAUAAGAUAUAGGGAAGUUGAGGAUGAAGACUAAUCAUGAUGACCCUUAUGUGAUGGGCUAUCGACGUGUUACUAUUUUAUUACAAUUAUAUUUACUUAUAUUCUAUUUUUAGAAUAUUUUAAUGUAAAUUAUUUAAAUAAUAAAAGUUAGAAUUUAUAUAGUCGUUCACUUGUGAACGAUGGUGUUCUUUAAUUUAAUUAUUAUCUGAAAUUCGAUAAUAUGAAAACGGAAUUGCUAGUAAUCGCGAACUACAGAGUCGCGGUGAAUUUUUCCAUUACUUCGUACUAACCACUCAUCAAUAGCAAGGAAUUUCGUAUGAAAAGGCUAUACCCUUUUUGUUAAGAAGUGACCUGCUGUAAGUUGAAAUACGGUUCGGCUAGGGGAACCUGGUCGGGAAUUAUUAUUUUUUAUAACAUAUUCUUUUCAUAAUUUAUU